CCAGCCCGCCCCCUCCGGAGGUCAAAAGCCUUGGUCAGUAGCCCUGUGGCCUGUGCGGUGAGCCCGGGGUCUCCAGGUCGGCCUUGGUUGUUCCGCUCGCCAGCUCGCUGCCCACAUGGCUCUGAGAGGCGUCUAUGGGUGGCUACUGAGCCGCGGACCCAGCCUGCGAGUCCUUCGUUCAUGGAGCUCGGCGGCGACGCAGACCGAAAAAGGUGGGAAGACCCAGAGCCGAUCAGCCAAGUCCUCGCGGCCCGAGUUUGACUGGAGGGACCCACUAUUGCUGGAGGAGCAGCUGACAGCAGAUGAGGUCCUCAUCAGGGACACCUUCCGCACCUACUGCCAGGAGCGCCUCAUGCCCCGCAUCCUGCUGGCCAAUCGCAACGAAGUUUUUCACCGGGAGAUCAUCUCAGAGAUGGGGGAACUGGGUGUGCUGGGCCCCACCAUCAAAGGGUAUGGCUGUGCUGGAGUCUCAUCUGUGGCCUAUGGGCUCCUGGCCCGAGAGCUGGAGCGAGUGGACAGCGGCUACAGGUCAGCGAUGAGUGUCCAGUCCUCUCUUGUCAUGCACCCCAUCUACGCGUACGGCAGCGAGGAGCAGCAACAGAAGUACCUGCCCCGGCUGGCCAAGGGGGAGCUCCUGGGCUGCUUUGGGCUCACAGAGCCUAACCAUGGGAGUGACCCCGGCAGCAUGGAGACCAGAGCCCGCCAGAACCCGUCCGGCAGGAGCUACACCCUCAAUGGGGCCAAGACCUGGAUCACCAACUCACCUGUGGCCGACCUGUUUGUAGUGUGGGCUCGGUGCGAAGAUAGUUGCAUUCGGGGCUUCCUGUUGGAGAAGGGGAUGCGGGGCCUCUCGGCCCCCAAGAUUGAGGGAAAGUUUUCUCUGCGGGCCUCGGCCACGGGUAUGAUUAUCAUGGACGACGUGGAAGUGCCAGAGGAGAAUGUGCUGCCCAAGGCGUCUGGUCUGGCGGGUCCCUUCGGCUGCCUAAACAAUGCCCGCUAUGGCAUCACCUGGGGUGUGCUUGGAGCUGCUGAGUUCUGUUUGCACACGGCCCGGCAGUACACCCUGGACAGGAUCCAGUUUGGUGUCCCACUGGCCAAGAACCAACUGAUUCAGAAGAAGCUGGCGGACAUGCUCACCGAGAUCACGCUGGGCCUUCAUGCCUGCCUGCAGCUCGGCCGCUUGAAGGAUCAAGACAAGGCCAACCCGGAAAUGAUCUCCCUGCUGAAGAGGAAUAACUGUGGGAAGGCCCUGGACAUUGCCCGCCAAGCCCGAGACAUGCUGGGAGGGAAUGGGAUUUCUGAUGAGUAUCACGUGAUCCGGCAUGCCAUGAACCUGGAGGCCGUGAACACGUAUGAAGGCAUUCCCAGAGUGGGGCAUUAAUGCCCAGGGAGCUGGUGGAUGCAAGGGAGUGAGAAUGCAGCUACACACAGGAAUCACCACUCCAUUUUAUGUGAGAAAAAAAGAGAAAAGGCACUCAUGACAUCCAUGCUCUGAUCCUCGGAAGGGCAAUCACAGGGAUCCAGGCGUUCACAGCCAGCAAGUGAACCCACUUCACCUGCGAGCCCGGAUGGUACCAAACCCCUUCCCAGGGAGAUACUGCGCUCUGAGCUUAGUCAGGGAGGUGGCAGAUGGAGCCAUUUCUUCUGGUGGGAAGUGAGAGACGCUGAUUUUUAAAUAUCAAAAUUUCCCUUUUGAAGUCAUUCAAAUGUGUUCCUUAAAAAAGAAGAUGGGACUGUCUGUACUGAGUUUCUCAAUCCAGUUUUAACUGUGGAUGGGAACAGAAUCCACUCACCUUGGAACAGAAGCUCCCUUUGACAGGGGAGCAGGGAGAGGGAAGGAGAGUGACGUGGAAGCAACUUGUGAGACCCACCUGGUGUCUGACUACGCAAACUACCCCCUCCACACAGCAAGAGUUUACUCUGCGCCCUCUGACCCUCCCAUCUUAGGGUAAGUGCCUUAUGCUGGACGUUGGAGCAGAAUGAGGGGGAAAGAGAGAAUAAUAAAGAGUCUGCGUGUCUGAGCCCACAGUGUUGGACCACAGUUACUUGUAACCACCGAGAAGUUAUUUCAGUCACAGGAGAAAGGAACAUGUGUCGGGGCUGUGAAGCGCGCUGGGACCUGGUGGGGAUUUCCCCUGCCCCAGAGUGACCCAUGCCUGAGUUUUGGGCUCGGCUGUAAUAAAUAAACCCGGUUAGGCACUGCCAGGGCUCAGGGCUGAGGGCAGAGGGGACUUUGUCCUUUCUGUCACCACAGAGCUGACGCACAGUGUGGGAAAUAACGGUCCAGCUUCUCAGUUCGGACUCCCCACAUUACAGGGGAGCACGGCGCCACAAGUGGAAUGGCAAGAGCCCCAGGGCUUUUGCAGUAAUAGUGGCCCCUGUGGGGUUUAGGGCCCGGUGGUGCUAAUGUCCUUGUUCUCUGUUGACAUUUACUUUCACCUUAGCUGCUACAACUCUCGUUCCUCUGGCGGCACCCAUGUGCAUGCGUGAGUUCAGUCCUACCUCAGGCUGGCCGCACAGGUCUUUGUACAUGGUCUCCACGCUGUGGCACACUUCUUUGAGCUCUGUUUCCAGGUGACUGAUUUUUGCCAUUUUUUGGGUGAACUCUUGGAGCUUUUCCUGAAUGAUCUUGUUGUGGUGAUUAUAAAUCUGAUACAUCCUCUCCUCUAGCUUCUCUGUCAGGUCUGAAACCUUUGAAAGAAUAAGAUGUUCUUGGAAAGUCAAACAAGAGGCAUCACAAGACAUUUGUUCUAGCUGGCUCUUUAAGAUUUCUGCAAUUUAUCUUAUAAAAGUGGUAAAAACAACUCCUGUGACUGGAGGUGAAAUUGCCUAUAUGUUAAGUUUUUCUUUUUAAAAAGCAAGGUGCGAGAAUUCCCUGGUGGUCCAGUGGUAAAGAAUCCGCCUUCCAGUGCAGGGGACGCGGGCCCAAUCCCUGGUCGGGCGGGGAACUAAGAUCCCACAUGCCGUGCGGCAACUAAGCCCGCGUGCCACAACUAUUGAGCUCCCACACCUCAACUAGAGAGCCUGUGUGCCGCAGAGCCCACACACCACAACUAGAGAGAGGAAAACCCUCACACCACAGCUAGAGAGAAGACUGCGCGCCGCAACUAGAGAGAAACCUGAGCAGACCGCGUGCCGUAAGGAAAAAGAUCCCGCGUGCCUCAGCAAAGAUCCCGUGUGCCGUGACUAAGACCCAAAGCAGCCAAAAAAAAAAAAAGGAAAAUAAAU